rnacentral:rRNA from 1 species
AUUGAACGCUGGCGGCACGCUUUACACAUGCAAGUCGAACGGUAACAGGGUGCUUGCACCGCUGACGAGUGGCGAACGGGUGAGUAAUGCGUCGGAACGUGCCGAGUAGUGGGGGAUAACGCAGCGAAAGUUGUGCUAAUACCGCAUACGUACUGAGGUAGAAAGUGGGGGACCUUCGGGCCUCACGCUAUUCGAGCGGCCGACGUCGGCUUAGCUAGUAGGUGAGGUAAAGGCUCACCUAGGCGACGAUCAGUAGCGGGCCUGAGAGGAUGAUCGGCCACACUGGGACUGAGACACGGCCCAGACUCCUGCGGGAGGCAGCAGUGGGGAAUUUUGGACAAUGGGCGAAAGCCUGAUCCAGCCAUGCCGCGUGUCUGAAGAAGGCCUUCGGGUUGUAAAGGACUUUUGUCAGGGAGGAAAUCCCUAGUGCUAAUAACACUGGGGGAUGACAGUACCUGAAGAAUAAGCACCGGCUAACUACGUGCCAGCCGCCGCAGUAACAC